AUGAGUGUCACUGAUGCACUAAGAAUUCACCACCAAACAAAAGAGUCCUGCUGGCAGUGUCCUGUCAGUUACGUCUUGUGGGCAGUGUACUGUGGACCAUGUACUUUCAGUCACAUCCUGUGGGCAGUGUCCUGUCAGUCACGUCCUGGGCAGUGUACUGUGGACCAUGUACUUUCAGUCACAUCCUGUGGGCAGUGUCCUGUCAGUCACGUCCUGUUGGCAGUGGCCUGUCAGUUACGUCUUGGGGGCAGUGUACUGUGGACCAUGUACUUUCAGUCACAUCCUGUGGGCAGUGUCCUGUCAGUCACGUCCUGUCGGCAGUGUCCUGUCAGUUCCGUCUUGUGGGCAGUGUACUGUGGACCAUGUACUUUCAGUCACAUCCUGUGGGCAGUGUCCUGUCAGUCACGUCCUGUCGGCAGUGUCCUGUCAGUUACGUCUUGUGGGCAGUGUACUGUGGACCAUGUACUUUCAGCCAUGUCCUGUCGACAGGGUUCUAGACACAUCCUGUUGGAAGUCACCAGUGUCCUUUCAGUCACGCCCUGCAGGAAGUGUCUUGUGGGCCAUGUCCUUUCAGUCACAUCCUGUCAGCCACAUCUUGUAGGCAGCACCCUGUCAGUCAUGUUCUGUGUGGGCAGUGUCCUGACAGUCCCUUCCUGUCAGUCACAUCCUAUCAGUGACGUCCUGUGGGCAGCGUCCUGUCAGUCAUGUCCUGCUAGUUAUGUCCUAUCAGUCACGUCCUGUCAAUCACAUCCCUUCAGUCACAUCAUGUGGGCCAUGUCCUUUUUGUUGCAUCCUGUGGGCAGCAUCCUGUCAGUCACAUCCUAUGGACAGCGUCCUGUGGGCUAUGUCCUUUCAGUCACAUCGUCAGUCACAUCCUGUCAGGUAGCAUCCUGUCAAUCAUGUCCUGUAGGCCAUGUCCUGCUAGUUACGUCCUGUGGGCAACAUCCCAUCAGUCACGUCCUGCAGGUAGUGUCCUGUGGGCUUUGUCCUUUCAGUCACAUCUUAUCAGUCACGUCCUGUGGGCAACAUCCUGUCAGUCAUGUCCUGCCGGUAGUGCCCUGUGGGCCAUGUCCUUUCAGUCACUUCCUGUCAGUCAUGUCCUGCGGGAUCUGUGGGCUAUGUCCUAUUGGUCACAUCGUGUCAGUCAUGUCCUGUGGCCCAUGUCCUGUCAGUCACGUCCUGUCAGCCACGUCAGUGAACACAGUGUUUAAGAACUCCAGCAGCUCUGCUGUAUCUGAUCCACUCACUGUACCACCAGCUCAUCACUCAGUGCAUCUCUAAUCACUGUAAAUGUGUUUCAGUUUGGUGCUUUUUUCAGUCGUGCUUUUUGCUCUUUGCUCUUAAUCCAGUGAAAUUAAGGAGCGAGACUCGGUGCUUAAUAUAGAAAUAAGGACUGACAGAUUCAUACAGACUACUGCCAGCCAGAUUAUAUUUAAGGCACAUCUACAACUUUCCAUAGAAGCUGGUUUCUGCUGCAGUGAGGCGUAGCGUUUUGAUUUCAGGCUGCGGAUUUUAAACUUACAUGUGUGUGCAGCCCUUCUUUUCUUCUGUCCAUCGACUUCUCAUCACAGGUGUCUGAAUUUUACCAGUUGAGAAUCUUAAGUUAUUUUAAAAAGCAUUGUUAAAACUCUUCAUCAAAUGUAUUAAUUGCUCCAUUAAAUAUUUCAAGAUGAUCAAAAUGCUGUGUAUAAAAUGCUGAAUUUAAUAGUUAUGUCAGUAUUUUGAGCUCCACCCCCUCCCCUACUGACUGAAUGAGUUAAACAAUGUGAACAGUAAUAUGACAUGUAUUGCUUCAGAGUAAAGGGGCGGAGUCAGGGUGGGUUAUUAUGGGGGAUUGUGGGUAAAAUUGUUUGUUUUGCACCUUAAGGAUUUUCUACUUGUUUGUAUUUUGCUGAUCGACUGUUGCUGACUUGGCGACAAAAAAGCUGUACAUACAAAAUAAAACCUGCUUUCAGACU
ensembl:lncRNA